rnacentral:piRNA from 1 species
UNGUGAUAAUAGUAUCAAGCCGUAUACCUAC